CAGCAGGUUCGGGGCUUUAUCGCAAAGCACCUGGACUCAUUUCGGGCAGGCACGUAGGACAGACCGGAGGCUCAGUCUUUUCCUAAAGUCACGGAGCUGGUGAACGAAGGAGCUGGGAUUGGAACCCGGGUUUGCGUGAUUCCGAAGUUUGUGUGUAUGCCUGGUGUGUGACACCCCCUCCCUAAAUCUUCACCAGCGUGAAGAUUUCCUGAGCGCUUGGGAAGGAGACUGCUGCUCAGAGAGACUGAGGAUCCAAGUUACUUAGCCUGGCUCUUUCACUGCCACCUCUGGGGUCCUGGGCAAAUACCCCCCAUUAAUCUUUUCUGAUUGUGCUUCACGUCCAAGGCUGCCCUCUGCCUCGCUCCCCGCUGUGUCCCUACCCUUCAUUCUAUUCAGGGGUCUCCUUACCCCACCUACCCACCUCAUCCUCGUCCCACUGAACCUGACUCUGAACUACAGAGGUGGGCCCCCACCCCCACUCCCAAACAACUACCUGCCCCUCCGGCUGCCUCCAGGUCCACUGGGAAUUUGCCCCUAAUUGCAUCUCAGGCUGGGAGGCUAUUAGUUUGUGAUUGCGUCCCCAGGGCCUGCCCUGCCCCCUGGGCGCCCACUCUCAGCUUCCACAGGGGUUCGAGAUGACGUAAAUCCCCAAUCUGAGAACCUGGCCAGCUCAGCUCACCAGCACCCUGCCGCCCAGUCCUGGGUGGGCUGGGUCCCCUCACUCUGGGGCAGCAGGAGGAGGCUCCCAGCCAGUGGAGCGCAGUGCACACAGCACGGUGGGUGCGGCGGGGUCCCCAGACUGAGCCCUCCCCACUGCCUGCCCCCUGCAGCCUCCACUUCCUCCCUGCAUCCUCCCCAAGAAGGGCAGAGCCCUGGAGCAAAGACUCCUGAGUUCUUUUCCUGGCUCAGACACUUCCUCUCUGUGACCUUGGGCAAGUCCCUUCUACUCUCAGGGCCUCAGAAACAGGAGAUUCAUCUUGUUGAACUCUGACCAGCUUCUAGUCCGAAAGAUAAUACUAUUUCAGUCAUUCCUGGGGCUUUCCUUCCACUAAUAUUUAAUGAAUGCUAGCCAUGGUGCCAGGCAUUGGGGAUUCUAGAAAGGCAAGUUCCUGCCCUCAGAGUCCGCAGCCUCGAGAGGG
rnacentral:lncRNA from 1 species